GAAGGAAUUGAGUCUUGGACUUAAUGUCUUUUUAAUGAACGUAGUGACAAGAAGAAAUUUUGGCAGGAGUCAGCAGCAGUCUCCCCUUCCUGAGGCAGAGGAGGGUGGCAGGAAGGACAGGAGGAAUGUGAGUCAGACAGCAAAUAGUUCUCCCCACAACAACAUCCUCAGGGGAUAGGAGAAGGUCGGUGGAGAAGAUAGAGCACAAAAGACCCAGGGUGUCAACAGGGCUGUUGGUGAUCCGGGGGGACAUCUUGAGUGCCGGGAUCUUCAUGUCUCUCUGUUAUUUAUCCCCAGGCCUGGCACGGUGCAUGGCGCAAAACUAGUCCGCAGAGUAUGUUUACUGAAUGAAUGAUGGAUGGCCCCCGAGACUGUUUUUGAAUGGCUUGAAACCAAGAACUCAAAAAAGAGAUUCUGUGAAGCUAUGGUUUCGGGAGACCUGGAUCUUUUCAGUUAAAGCAGUAGCCGAAAGCCUGUGUAUGAUGCAGAGGAAAGAUCCUGGACAUUUCCAGGUAUCUGGAUCCAGUGAUGUAAGCGUCAAAACUUAUCAAGUCUUGGUGACAGAAAUGCCUCCCCCCUCACGUUUUGAAGAGCAAUUCCGGAUCUGGCGUCUGAGCAGCUCCUGCUGUUGCCAGGCCUGUAGCAGGUACACAGAAAUUCGGAGGAGAGGAACCGUGGGGAAUGUUCAUUUGUUAUUUAUUUAUAAACUUGCCGUGCCACAUCAUGUAAAAUUAACACCUUUAAUGGGCUCCUGCCUCAGUUGCUUGAAGAACGGGCUUUCACCAGCCAAGGCCACCCACCGGUUUCCGGGCAGCGUUGUUGUGUGUUUGCUUUGGGCUGCUAGCUUUGUGGAAUCUACCUGCUGAAGUCAUCCUUGUGCUAAACAGGUCACCAAAGGUCUGUCCCAUUAGACAGAACAUUCAGGAAGCGAAGUCUUUGGGGCUUUUGUGGUUGAAGAGACGAGUGAUUACUUUGGAGCGUAAAUUCCUUUCUCUAUCUGCUUAAUGAAGAGAUUUACUCCAACAUUCAUUUAUUAUAAAUUGGGGGGGGGGAUGGCUUCUCCCAUGUGCCAGCAUCCAGAGGGUCCCUUUCCUAUAAGAGUUCAUAAAUAAUCAACGUUUACAAUGAAAAGGUUUUGUAAGCGUUAUCUUUUCCUGUCACAAAAAUUCCCUCAUGCUUCUAAGGGAGGAGCAAUAUAAUUUGCAGGCAAUGAUUCUGGAAAUGAAAUGGCUUUAUGCAUAGAGAGUAGAUGUGUUUGGGGAUUUUGAAGAAAUAUCUCACUUUUCACCCACCUACCUCACUGCUCCUGCUUCAGUGCCUAAAAUUUCAAUCUAAUUUUAUAGCAUCAUUCAAAUACAAAUGAUGUCUAGGAAGGGGAAACACAUUAAGUCAUUCAACAAGCAUUUGUCAGCUUACUAUGUGCUGAGUAUUGCAUUUGGUAGAUAUACAGGCUCCUGAAGAAUUCAUGAUCUAAUGGAAGAAAGAAACAGGGGUGAUAGAUAAUUAGAAGCCAAUUUCAAGAAUUAUAGUUGAGGUGGGUACUGAGUACUAGGGAAAUUCAGAGGAAGGAGGAAUUAGCAUUGCCUGAAGAAAUCAGGAAAGCUUUCACAAAGGAAGUGAUAUUUGAGCUUGAAGAAUGGAUACGCAUUUACCAAGAUGAAAGGAAAAAGUAAUUCUAGGUAAUUUUCAAGGGGACGACGUGGGCACAGAUACCACAGUGACUUGUAUUUGAAGGCCUGCCAGGUGCCAGUUGCCGUGUAAAGUACCAGAUGCUGUGUGGCGUGCUUUAGAUAGAUCAUCUAGCCUAAUUCUAACACAGAAGACAUAUUAUCACUGUGAAAAAAACAGAGGAGGUUAAAGAGCUUG
ensembl:lncRNA